UUAAAUUGAAGAGUUUGAUCAUGGCUCAGAUUGAACGCUGGCGGCAGGCCUAACACAUGCAAGUCGAACGGUAACAGGAAGCAGCUUGCUGCUUUGCUGACGAGUGGCGGACGGGUGAGUAAUGUCUGGGAAACUGCCUGAUGGAGGGGGAUAACUACUGGAAACGGUGGCUAAUACCGCAUAACGUCGCAAGACCAAAGAGGGGGACCUUCGGGCCUCUUGCCAUCAGAUGUGCCCAGAUGGGAUUAGCUUGUUGGUGAGGUAACGGCUCACCAAGGCGACGAUCCCUAGCUGGUCUGAGAGGAUGACCAGCCACACUGGAACUUGAGACACGGUCCAGACUCCUACGGGAGGCAGCAGUGGGGAAUAUUGCACAAUGGGCGCAAGCCUGAUGCAGCCAUGCCGCGUGUAUGAAGAAGGCCUUCGGGUUGUAAAGUACUUUCAGCGGGGAGGAAGGUGUUGUGGUUAAUAACCGCAGCAAUUGACGUUACCCGCAGAAGAAGCACCGGCUAACUCCGUGCCAGCAGCCGCGGUAAUACGGAGGGUGCAAGCGUUAAUCGGAAUUACUGGGCGUAAAGCGCACGCAGGCGGUCUGUCAAGUCGGAUGUGAAAUCCCCGGGCUCAACCUGGGAACUGCAUUCGAAACUGGCAGGCUUGAGUCUUGUAGAGGGGGGUAGAAUUCCAGGUGUAGCGGUGAAAUGCGUAGAGAUCUGGAGGAAUACCGGUGGCGAAGGCGGCCCCCUGGACAAAGACUGACGCUCAGGUGCGAAAGCGUGGGGAGCAAACAGGAUUAGAUACCCUGGUAGUCCACGCCGUAAACGAUGUCUACUUGGAGGUUGUGCCCUUGAGGCGUGGCUUCCGGAGCUAACGCGUUAAGUAGACCGCCUGGGGAGUACGGCCGCAAGGUUAAAACUCAAAUGAAUUGACGGGGGCCCGCACAAGCGGUGGAGCAUGUGGUUUAAUUCGAUGCAACGCGAAGAACCUUACCUGGUCUUGACAUCCACAGAAGAAUCCAGAGAUGGAUUUGUGCCUUCGGGAACUGUGAGACAGGUGCUGCAUGGCUGUCGUCAGCUCGUGUUGUGAAAUGUUGGGUUAAGUCCCGCAACGAGCGCAACCCUUAUCCUUUGUUGCCAGCGGUCCGGCCGGGAACUCAAAGGAGACUGCCAGUGAUAAACUGGAGGAAGGUGGGGAUGACGUCAAGUCAUCAUGGCCCUUACGACCAGGGCUACACACGUGCUACAAUGGCGCAUACAAAGAGAAGCGACCUCGCGAGAGCAAGCGGACCUCAUAAAGUGCGUCGUAGUCCGGAUUGGAGUCUGCAACUCGACUCCAUGAAGUCGGAAUCGCUAGUAAUCGUGGAUCAGAAUGCCACGGUGAAUACGUUCCCGGGCCUUGUACACACCGCCCGUCACACCAUGGGAGUGGGUUGCAAAAGAAGUAGGUAGCUUAACCUUCGGGAGGGCGCUUACCACUUUGUGAUUCAUGACUGGGGUGAAGUCGUAACAAGGUAACCGUAGGGGAACCUGCGGUUGGAUCACCUCCUUACCUUAAAGAA
rnacentral:rRNA from 1 species